rnacentral:misc_RNA from 1 species
UCUUUCACUGGCAUCUUGUCUGCAAUAGAUGUUUUGGGUGACCAUGCUUUAGUUGGGAUAUUCUACUUCGUUGGAUUUGGAUUAUUCUGCAUUGAAUUGGUGCUUAGUAUCUGGGUUCUUCAGCAAGUAUACAUGUAUUUCCGCGGCAGUGGUAAAGCUGCUAAGAUGAAGCGCGAGGCUGCUAGAGGAGCUAUGAGAGCUGCGAUAUGAUAAUCCUAUUCUUAUGGGGAGGCAAAUAUUCGGAGCUUUUGUGUGGUUUAGGUUGUAUAUGCCCUUAGCCACGCAAUUUUCGCAUAUGAAGAUUUCUAGGCAUGA